AUGCCCAGAGUGAGUGAGACAACUUCCAGGACUAGAACUGUGUAUGGAGCCCAAACCAGGAGAGUCGGGAGAAAGAGGACAGUUGGACAUUAUCUUCAUGGAUGGAAUCUUGCCAGUAUCAUCCCCAAAAUGCUGAUUGGUGCCCACAUUCCCACCACCGUAAGAAUAGAAGACUUUGAUCAUCCUUAAAAUGUGCAUACCCAAGUAAGAAAUCGAGAUUUCUGUUUUAUUAUUAGAUAUCCCUCCUGAGUGAGACUAAAUAUAAGUCAGUAUCCUGAGGGUGGUACUAUGGAGGGGAGGGAUCCUGAAAUGUGUGUGGUCUCACUAUAUGAGAGAAGACAUGAGAGAAAAAGUAGAACCCAGAAAGUAGUGAUUGGGGUACCCCCCUCACCAAAGGAAAUGUUUUCAUCUCUUCCAUCCUGUGGAGGGUGAGUUCUGUACACCUGUUGCUCUACUACUUUUCAACCCUCGUCACAGAGACUCCAAAAAGGCCUUCAGACUCCAAAUGACACCCUCAUCAAUAAGCUUGCAUUGCAGAUCCACAUUUUGACAACACAUUUCCCAAAUUUAGUCCCCUAAUCCACUCCCAGAAUAUAUUAUGCUUUGCACCCAACAGAUGGAUUAAAAGCUUAAAUCUUCUGCUUGUUAGGAAACCAACCAGAAACCAAAAAUACAAACACAUACACCCCUGCAGGUGUGAGUGCAAUGAUGGGGGUGAGGAGAGAAGCGUGGGUGGAUGUAAGGACCCGAGAGUGUUCACUUUGGGGAGCAGAGAACCACGGCAGAGAAUGUGGAGAAGUCAGGGCAUCCUCUGGGCUCUGAGUGGGGUGAGGGGCAACCAGAUGUUUCUUCAAUUCUCAGAUCCCUUGAUUUAGGCCUCUAUGUAUCAAGCCAGUGUGUAGGUCUGAAGCACAGGAGAAUGUCCAGGUGAAUGUCAUGCCAGAACAUGCCAUGAGCAACGUCCAGGUGCAUACGUGCAUACCCAAGAAAGAAACUGAGAUUUCUUUCCACUCCCAGCAGUUGGUGGGAGUUCAUGUGAUAUUCACGUGGACAUUGCUUAUGACAUUCUGGCCAUGUGUCUGUUAGGUGUGUGUGUAGGUCUGAAGCACAGAAUCCCUAGUGUGGGGGCUGCUAGGGUCCUUAGUCAAGCUCUCUCCUACAUAGAGUGGGCUUAUCUCUUGAGGAGACAAGGGCCUGAGCUGGGGAAGUGAGCCGGGAGCCCUCCGUAGCACCAGAUUCGGAACCAGAUAUCUUCUUCCAGUCCAGGGCUCACUCCUCUCUUUUGGAGACUUGGGGGCUUUGAGGAUUUCCUGCUCUUCAUUUCUUGGGGUUCCAAGCUUUUAUCAUGUCAUUGACUAUGUCUCGUCUCCCCUCUGUGCAUAAAAUUUGUUGAAAUCUCUAUAAAUGGAUGUUGUUAUUUUGAAGGUGGUAGGGGUGGGGGCAACAGGGAAGAUGGGGUGCCAGGGGCACUUCUAGAGAAUACAAAGGAACCCCCCAGGAGCUGGGCUCAAGGGAAGUAGAGAUCUCUUGGGAAAUUUUAGAAUCUCUUCUGCAGUGUCUUGUUUUCUCCUCAUCAUUGAAAAAUUGCUCAGAAUGCAAUAAAAACAAGGUGUUCUAAUUAAACA
rnacentral:lncRNA from 13 species